rnacentral:rRNA from 1 species
AUUGAACGCUGGCGGCAGGCCUAACACAUGCAAGUCGAACGAGGGGCGGACGGGAGAGUCAUGUCUGGGAAACUGCCUGAUGGAGGGGGAUAAAUACUGGAAAGGGUAUAUAAUACCGCAUACUCUCGGAUGUGCCCAGAUGGGAAUAGCUUGGAGGUGGGGUAAAGGCUCACCUAGGCGACGACCCCUAGCUGGUCUGAGAGGAUGACCAGCCACACUGGAACUGAGACACGGUCCAGACUCCUACGUGAGGCAGCAGUGGGGAAUAUUGCACAAUGGGCGCAAGCCUGAUGCAGCCAUGCCGCGUGUAUGAAGAAGGCCUUCGGGUUGUAAAGUACUUUCAGCGGGGAGGCGUUACCCGCAGAAGAAGCACCGGCUAACUCCGUGCCAGCAGCCGCGGUAAUAC